UGGGGAAUAUUGCACAAUGGGCGAAAGCCUGAUGCAGCAACGCCGCGUGCGGGAUGACGGCCUUCGGGUUGUAAACCGCUUUCAGCAGGGACGAAGGUUUUCUGACGGUACCUGCAGAAGAAGCACCGGCUAACUACGUGCCAGCAGCCGCGGUGAUACGUAGGGUGCGAGCGUUGUCCGGAAUUAUUGGGCGUAAAGAGCUUGUAGGCGGUCCGUUGCGUCGGAAGUGAAAACUCAGGGCUUAACCCCUGAGCCUGCUUUCGAUACGGGCGGACUUGAGGGAUGUAGGGGAGAACGGAAUUCCUGGUGGAGCGGUGGAAUGCGCAGAUAUCAGGAGGAACACCAGUGGCGAAGGCGGUUCUCUGGACAUUUCCUGACGCUGAGAAGCGAAAGCGUGGGGAGCAAAACAGGCUUAGAUACCCUGGUAGUCCACGCCGUAAACGGUGGGCACUAGGUGUGGGACCCAUUCCACGGGUUCCGUGCCGUAGCUAACGCAUUAAGUGCCCCGCCUGGGGAGUACGGCCGCAAGGCUAAAACUUAAAGGAAUUGAC
rnacentral:rRNA from 1 species